rnacentral:rRNA from 1 species
UGGACAGGGAGACAGGUGGUGCAUGGUUGUCGUCAGCUCGUGUCGUGAGAUGUUGGGUUAAGUCCCGCAACGAGCGCAACCCCUACGUUUAGUUGCUAACGCGUGAAGGCGAGCACUCUAGACGAACUGCCGUUGACAAACGGAGGAAGGUGGGGAUGACGUCAAAUCAUCAUGCCCCUUAUGUUCUGGGCUACACACGUGCUACAAUGGCCGGUACAGACGGACGCAAAGCCGCGAGGUGGAGCAAAUCCUAAAAAGCCGGUCUCAGUUCGGAUUGCAGGCUGCAAUUCGCCUGCAUGAAGUCGGAAUCGCUAGUAAUCGCAGGUCAGCAUACUGCGGUGAAUACGUUCCCGGGCCUU